rnacentral:rRNA from 1 species
GGGUUGUGAGGUUAAGCGACUAAGCGUACACGGUGGAUGCCCUGGCAGUCAGAGGCGAUGAAGGACGUGCUAAUCUGCGAAAAGCGUCGGUAAGGUGAUAUGAACCGUUAUAACCGGCGAUGUCCGAAUGGGGAAACCCAGUGCAAUUCGUUGCACUAUCGUUAACUGAAUACAUAGGUUAACGAGGCGAACCGGGGGAACUGAAACAUCUAAGUACCCCGAGGAAAAGAAAUCAACCGAGAUUCCCCCAGUAGCGGCGAGCGAACGGGGAGCAGCCCAGAGUCUGAAUCAGCUUGUGUGUUAGUGGAACGGUCUGGAAAGUCCGACGGUACAGGGUGAUAGUCCCGUACACCAAAAUGCACAGGCUGUGAACUCGAAGAGUAGGGCGGGACACGUGGUAUCCUGUCUGAAUAUGGGGGGACCAUCCUCCAAGGCUAAAUACUCCUGACUGACCGAUAGUGAACCAGUACCGUGAGGGAAAGGCGAAAAGAACCCCGGCGAGGGGAGUGAAAAAGAACCUGAAACCGUGUACGUACAAGCAGUGGGAGCACCUUCGGGUGUGACUGCGUACCUUUUGUAUAAUGGGUCAGCGACUUAUAUUCUGUAGCAAGGUUAACCGUAUAGGGGAGCCGCAGGGAAACCGAGUCUUAACUGGGCGUUAAGUUGCAGGGUAUAGACCCGAAACCCGGUGAUCUAGCCAUGGGCAGGUUGAAGGUUGGGUAACACUAACUGGAGGACCGAACCGACUAAUGUUGAAAAAUUAGCGGAUGACUUGUGGCUGGGGGUGAAAGGCCAAUCAAACCGGGAGAUAGCUGGUUCUCCCCGAAAGCUAUUUAGGUAGCGCCUCGUGAACUCAUCUUCGGGGGUAGAGCACUGUUUCGGCUAGGGGGUCAUCCCGACUUACCAACCCGAUGCAAACUACGAAUACCGAAGAAUGUUAUCACGGGAGACACACGGCGGGUGCUAACGUCCGUCGUGAAGAGGGAAACAACCCAGACCGCCAGCUAAGGUCCCAAAGUCAUGGUUAAGUGGGAAACGAUGUGGGAAGGCACAGACAGCCAGGAUGUUGGCUUAGAAGCAGCCAUCAUUUAAAGAAAGCGUAAUAGCUCACUGGUCGAGUCGGCCUGCGCGGAAGAUGUAACGGGGCUAAACCAUGCACCGAAGCUGCGGCAGCGACACUAUGUGUUGUUGGGUAGGGGAGCGUUCUGUAAGCCUGCGAAGGUGUGCUGUGAGGCAUGCUGGAGGUAUCAGAAGUGCGAAUGCUGACAUAAGUAACGAUAAAGCGGGUGAAAAGCCCGCUCGCCGGAAGACCAAGGGUUCCUGUCCAACGUUAAUCGGGGCAGGGUGAGUCGACCCCUAAGGCGAGGCCGAAAGGCGUAGUCGAUGGGAAACAGGUUAAUAUUCCUGUACUUGGUGUUACUGCGAAGGGGGGACGGAGAAGGCUAUGUUAGCCGGGCGACGGUUGUCCCGGUUUAAGCAUGUAGGCUGGUUGUCCAGGCAAAUCCGGAUAAUCAAGGCUGAGGUGUGAUGACGAGGCACUACGGUGCUGAAGUAACAAAUGCCCUGCUUCCAGGAAAAGCCUCUAAGCAUCAGGUAACAUCAAAUCGUACCCCAAACCGACACAGGUGGUCAGGUAGAGAAUACCAAGGCGCUUGAGAGAACUCGGGUGAAGGAACUAGGCAAAAUGGUGCCGUAACUUCGGGAGAAGGCACGCUGGUGUGUAGGUGAAGUCCCUGCGGAUGGAGCUGAGACCAGUCGAAGAUACCAGCUGGCUGCAACUGUUUAUUAAAAACACAGCACUGUGCAAACACGAAAGUGGACGUAUACGGUGUGACGCCUGCCCGGUGCCGGAAGGUUAAUUGAUGGGGUUAUCCGUAAGGAGAAGCUCUUGAUCGAAGCCCCGGUAAACGGCGGCCGUAACUAUAACGGUCCUAAGGUAGCGAAAUUCCUUGUCGGGUAAGUUCCGACCUGCACGAAUGGCGUAAUGAUGGCCAGGCUGUCUCCACCCGAGACUCAGUGAAAUUGAACUCGCUGUGAAGAUGCAGUGUACCCGCGGCAAGACGGAAAGACCCCGUGAACCUUUACUAUAGCUUGACACUGAACAUUGAGCCUUGAUGUGUAGGAUAGGUGGGAGGCUUUGAAGCGUGGACGCCAGUCUGCGUGGAGCCAACCUUGAAAUACCACCCUUUAAUGUUUGAUGUUCUAACGUUGGCCCCUGACCGGGGUUGCGGACAGUGUCUGGUGGGUAGUUUGACUGGGGCGGUCUCCUCCCAAAGCGUAACGGAGGAGCACGAAGGUUAGCUAAUCCUGGUCGGACAUCAGGAGGUUAGUGCAAUGGCAUAAGCUAGCUUGACUGCGAGCGUGACGGCGCGAGCAGGUGCGAAAGCAGGUCAUAGUGAUCCGGUGGUUCUGAAUGGAAGGGCCAUCGCUCAACGGAUAAAAGGUACUCCGGGGAUAACAGGCUGAUACCGCCCAAGAGUUCAUAUCGACGGCGGUGUUUGGCACCUCGAUGUCGGCUCAUCACAUCCUGGGGCUGAAGUAGGUCCCAAGGGUAUGGCUGUUCGCCAUUUAAAGUGGUACGCGAGCUGGGUUUAGAACGUCGUGAGACAGUUCGGUCCCUAUCUGCCGUGGGCGCUGGAGAAUUGAGGGGGGCUGCUCCUAGUACGAGAGGACCGGAGUGGACGCAUCACUGGUGUUCGGGUUGUCAUGCCAAUGGCACUGCCCGGUAGCUAAAUGCGGAAGAGAUAAGUGCUGAAAGCAUCUAAGCACGAAACUUGCCCCGAGAUGAGUUCUCCCUGAGACUUUAAGUCUCCUGAAGGAACGUUAAAGACGAUGACGUUGAUAGGCCGGGUGUGUAAGCGCAGCGAUGCGUUGAGCUAACCGAUACUAAUGAACCGUGAGGCUUAACCUUACAACGCCGAAG